rnacentral:rRNA from 1 species
UACGGAGGAUCCAAGCGUUAUCCGGAAUUACUGGGCGUAAAGAGUUGCGUAGGUGGCAUGGUAAGUUGGUAGUGAAAGCGUCCCGCUCAACGGGAUAUACAUUACCAAAACUGCCAAGCUAGAGGACGAGAGAGGUUACUGGAAUUCCCAGUGUAGGAGUGAAAUCCGUAGAUAUUGGGAGGAACACCGAUGGCGUAGGCAGGUAACUGGCUCGUUCCUGACACUAAGGCACGAAAGCGUGGGGAGCAAACGGG